AACAUAUGAUGAGGCCACUUUGCAUCAGCCUUUUAAGACAUACUAUUCACGAGUUUGAAAUUGAUUGAGCUCAUAACUUAUUCAAAGUCUGUUUCUUUCUUUAGUGUCAAAAAAAACAUGAUGAGAAAAUAUGGCAUAUGCGUGUAGGUUGCCAAUAUGAUCAGGUUCUUGGUGGAUAGCUACAACAAGCCAGUUCCUGCAAUCCUGGAGAUCCCUUCCAAGGACCAUCCCUAUGAUCCUGCUCAUGACUCUGUUCUCUCCCGUGUCAAGUACCUCUUCUCUGCGGAAUCUGUGUCACAGCGUUAAACAUAUACACAUUCUGCAAGCUCGCCUGAGCUUUUAUAUCAUUUCUUUGUUUUUGACAUUCUUGUGUUCCUCAGUUUUCAAUAAUGUGUAUCUCUUGAUUUUUGUUUGGAAAUGGAUGUUAUAUCAGUAAGAAGCAAUGAUAACACCAUCUAGUUCUUUUUGCAUUGAAUAAAGAGAGUGAGUCAUUGUGUAUUCAAGAGUCAAGAGCAGACUUUAAAGGUUUAAGUGAAGACUCCAUCUAUUCAAUGUGAAGCAUUUUGAGUCAGAGAAGCAACCAAAAGGAAGUUCAAAUCAGGUCCACCUGGAUUUAAGAAGAAGAAUAUAAGUACAAGGUGGACUUGGGUUCGCUAGCCAAAACACAUGUUAGUCGGAUAGAAUCAAAAAUUGUCCGAAUGUUUUAUUUAUCAAAUAUCCAGGCCUAUUUGUUCUUGGCAACCACAAAGUUCCAGCCCAUUUACUGUUAUUUAUUGUUUCUGGAAGAUAAAGAAGAAAUGGCAAAAGUGAAAUAAUCAGAAAAAGCAAGGGCCCUUUCACAAAAAAAGAUAAAUUUUAUAAAAACCAGAGCAUAAAGUUUCACACUUUUGUUCUGCUCCUUUCUCGUCUCUGUCUUCUUCGUCCUCGUUCAUCCUAACUCACCAAACAGCUUUAGAUUUUCUCUUUCAAAUUUCGAACUCGCUACUCAUUAAAAAAAAAGUCCAUUCUUUUUAAAAAUUCGAAACCAAAUGGCUAGUAACAACAACCCGCAUGAGAACCUUUCAGACCAAACACCUUCUGAUGACUUCUUCGACCAAAUCCUCGGUCUUCCCAACUUCUCUGCUUCUUCAUCCGACGGUGGGUUAAGCGGAGGAGGAGCACCGCCGAUGAUGCUGCAGCUGGGCUCCGGCGAGGAAGGAAGUCACAUGGCUGGGCUAGGAGGAAGCGGACCAAGUGUGUUUCACAACCAGAUGUUUCCUCUAGGGUUGAGUCUUAACCAAGGGAAAGGACCUGUCUUUCUUAGACCUGAAGGUGGUGGUGUUCAUGCAAGUGUGAAUCGAUCUUCUUCUUCUUCUUCUAUGAAAGGACCUGUAAGGAAUCAAUUUUUUUGUUAUGCUUUUUCUAUGUGUUCUUACAUCUUUUGUCUUGUUGUUGUAAGGUUUUUCAUGGGCAGCCGAUGCAACAGCCAGCUCCAGCAGCGCCACAUCAGCCUACAUCAAUCCGUCCUAGAGUUCGAGCUAGGCGUGGUCAGGCUACUGAUCCUCACAGUAUCGCUGAAAGGGUAAAACUUUUACUUCAGAUUCUCUUUUUGUGUGUUUUGUGGAAGGGGGUAAAGCUGAAAGAUUUGAACUUUGUUACAGCUACGUAGGGAAACACUGUUAUAUUUACAAAACAUUAACGGCUGUGCCUGUGUGGUGUUAUUUGUGUCGUUAUCAGUGAGGUCAUGGCUUGCUUCACCUUUUAAAUAAUGGAUCAAAGUUACUGUUAUUGUAGGGUAGUUUUUGUUAUCUUGUUCCCAUUAGCUGUGUGACUGAACAUAUGAUGAGGCCACUUUGCAUCAGCCUUUUAAGACAUACUAUUCACGAGUUUGAAAUUGAUUGAGCUCAUAACUUAUUCAAAGUCUGUUUCUUUCUUUAGUGUCAAAAAAAACAUGAUGAGAAAAUAUGGCAUAUGCGUGUAGGUUGCCAAUAUGAUCAGGUUCUUGGUGGAUAGCUACAACAAGCCAGUUCCUGCAAUCCUGGAGAUCCCUUCCAAGGACCAUCCCUAUGAUCCUGCUCAUGACUCUGUUCUCUCCCGUGUCAAGUACCUCUUCUCUGCUGAAUCUGUGUCACAGCGUUAAAACAUUUACACAUUCUGCAAAGCUCGCCUGAGCUUUUAUAUCAUUUGACAUUCUUGUAUUUCUCAGUUUUCAAUAAUGUCUAUCUCUUGGUUUUUGUUUGGAAAUGGAUGUUAUAUCAGUAAGAAGCAAUGAUAACACCAUCUGGUUCUUUUUGCAUUGAAUAAAGAGAGUGAGUCAUUGUGUAUUCAAGAGACUUUAAAGAUUUAAGUGAAGACUCCAUCUAUGUGAAGCAUUUUGAGUCAGAUAAGCAGAAGCAACCAAAAGGAAGUUCAGAUCAGGUCCACCUGGAUUUAAGAAGAAGAAUAUAAGUACUUGGGUUCGCUAUGACUAUUACCAAAACACAUGUUAGUCAGAUAGAAUCAAAAAUUGUCCUAAUGUUUUAUUUAUCAAACAUCCAGGCCUAUUUGUUCUUGGCAACCACA
rnacentral:lncRNA from 1 species